rnacentral:lncRNA from 1 species
GUCAAAAGAUAUUAUUAUUUUUAAUUAGGUUUAAUUAAUCUGUAUAGUGUUUUCUCUAAUAAAUGAGUUUCCUGAAAGACCAAGAUGUAUAUAGAGUUAUCAGAUGCUAAUUUCCGAAGGAUUUCUGCUUUAGAUUUUGAUAUUCCCUCUAUAUUAAAUUGGCACAUCCAUAGGCAUGGAUGAGAAGAAGAAGAUAGAUGUUUUACUAAGAAAUUCAUCCUUGGGAUUGUUGAUUAAAAUGUGGAUGGAGGUUGUAGCUUACUUAUCAUGGACUGUCCUCUAUCUAAGCUGUUCAUGUGACCCUUGUUAAGCUAGGCUUUGGUCAAGCCUGCAUGUACAAGUUUCUUUUUUGUUUCAUGCUGUAGAAUCCAGGUGAUGGCAUUAGCUUCCCAUGUUUCCACAGUACUUAUAGAAGGGGCUACAAAAAGGUUGCCAUCAUCCCUCCCAUUUAUUUUUAUUAAAAUACAAAUAGUAAUUUUAGUAAAAUGCAUUCAUAAUUUAAUAAAUUAUAAUAAGAGAUUGCUUUGUAAUAUAUUAUUUAUGAACAUAUUUUACAUUUUUAAAAAUUUUACAAUACCAAACUUUGGGGUAAUCUAACUUGCUUGUUUUCAAACUUAG